UCUGGUGGUUUUGGCGAGGGGAGAACACCCGAACCCAUUCCGAACUCGGUCGUGAAAACCCUCAGCGCCGAUGGUACUUCAUCUUAAGGUGCGGGAGAGUAGGUCGCUGCCAGGC
rnacentral:rRNA from 1 species